AACGAACGCUGGCGGCAGGCCUAACACAUGCAAGUCGAGCGCCCCGCAAGGGGAGCGGCGGACGGGUGAGUAACGCGUGGGAACGUGCCUCUUGCUACGGAAUAGCCUCGGGAAACUGGGAGUAAUACCGUAUGUGCCCUACGGGGGAAAGAUUUAUCGGCAAGAGAUCGGCCCGCGUUGGAUUAGGGAGUUGGUGGGGUAAUGGCCUACCAAGCCGGCGAUCCAUAGCUGGUUUGAGAGGAUGAUCAGCCACACUGGGACUGAGACACGGCCCAGACUCCUACGGGAGGCAGCAGUGGGGAAUCUUAGACAAUGGGCGCAAGCCUGAUCUAGCCAUGCCGCGUGAGCGACGAAGGUCUUCGGAUUGUAAAGCUCUUUUGGCGGGGACGAUAAUGACGGUACCCGCAGAAUAAGCCCCGGCUAACUUCGUGCCAGCCGCCGCGGUAAGAC
rnacentral:rRNA from 1 species